AUUACCGCAGGAGCCCUCCAUGAUGUGAGAAGGGUUAACGUCAUCUGAGCAGAUUAGGAAUUUUCUGGUUCUCUCCUCCGGAGUGAAAAGCGGAUUCAGAGGUUAGACCUUAAGUAGUGUUCCCAGCCAACCAAAGGCAGGAAUGGCCAGACUGGCUUUGGAGUCCAGAGUCCUCGGAGGCUCUCAGUCACUACUGUGAUCCCAAGAAGGCACUGAGAUGUCACCACAAGGAGCUGCCCAGCCCUGGCCAUCACCCCUGGGGAAACAGGCUGGAACUGGACUCCUGCAAGUCACUAAUUCCCUGACUCAAGAUCUUUUGGACUAGAUUGAGCAUCCAGCCUGUGCUAGCCCUUGAGGCCAGGGAGGCUUUAACGAUGUGAACACUGCACAGGCCUUCCAGAACAUGCCUCCAGCAGAACCCCAGCAGCACAUCCAGCAGCUCUGCCCGACCGGGUCUGGAUGUGGACCAAUCAGCUGCAGCCAAGAGGCAGGAUCAGCGAUUCAGCCCUGUGGACAGAGGGACCAGAGCCUUUGGAUCCUCCUCUGCUUCCUGGUCCUCCUCCAGGCCCUGCUUAAUUAAAGCUGGUUCUCCUCUCUCCCACUGUCUUCAUCCCAGGACCGCACAACUGGGGGGUGGGGGGGGGGAGGAGACAGUUGUCCCUUCUUUCUCUUGGCAUUCGUUUGCCCAUCCUCCACAGCCUGAUUUACUGUUUGUGAAUCAGUGGUCGCAUGCAUCCCAAGUUGGCCUCAAACUCACUGCAGAGUAGAAGAAGCUUUGAAUGCUCGAUCUUCCUGCCUCCACUCCCUAAACGCUGGGAUUACAGAGUAUGCUACCACAUCUGGUCUGUUUGGUUUUUAAAACAGGGUCUUGCUAUGCAGCCCUGACUGUCUUAGCUCAAGGUCCUCCUACAUUUGCCUUCUGGAUGCUGUGCUGGUAGGCCUGUGCCACUGGCCUGGGUCCAAGCCAUCCUCCUGAGGCACUCACCGGGCUCCUAUUUCCCCACUUCAAAAUUUGAAAGGCUCGGUGCAAAGCCACAGUCGCUUAGAGAUUUCACCACCUGCCUUUCUUGGCUUGCCUCCAGGGUCUUCCAGCCCUUCUUCUCAUCCUCAAGGCCGCAGGACCCCAGGCUUCUGGUCCAGUUCCUCAAAAAAUGCACCCACAGCCUUUCCUCAGGCUCUGUUCCCAUUGCUCCUUGGCUAGGGUCCUUCCAGGCUGAUGGGAAAUGCCUUCUUCCCUCUGGCUGCCUUUUCCGAUUCCUCAGGUGGAAUUAAUUGCCGCCUGUGUUCCCAUUGUACCUGUAAACACUUCAGAGCCGGCGCGGCCACCCAUCUAUUAAGGCUGUUUUAUCUGCCGAGCUUCCCAACUGUGGCUCUUAAGUGCCCAGACAAUGGAGGCUAUCUGAUUCAUUUAAAAUUUUGCCCUGCACACAGUAGGCACACGAUACAUGCUUGUUAUGUUGAAUAGAUAAUUGCCAUUCACAUCA
rnacentral:sRNA from 1 species